GAUGAACGCUGGCGGCGUGCCUAAUACAUGCAAGUCGAGCGAACGGACGAGAAGCUUGCUUCUCUGAUGUUAGCGGCGGACGGGUGAGUAACACGUGGAUAACCUACCUAUAAGACUGGGAUAACUUCGGGAAACCGGAGCUAAUACCGGAUAAUAUUUUGAACCGCAUGGUUCAAAAGUGAAAGACGGUCUUGCUGUCACUUAUAGAUGGAUCCGCGCUGCAUUAGAUAGUUGGUAAGGUAACGGCUUACCAAGGCAACGAUGCAUAGCCGACCUGAGAGGGUGAUAGGCCACACUGGAACUGAGACACGGUCCAGACUCCUACGGGAGGCAGCAGUAGGGAAUCUUACGCAAUGGGCGAAAGCCUGACGGAGCAACGCCGAGUGAGUGAUGAAGGUCUUCGGAUCGUAAAACUCUGUUAUUAGGGAAGAACAUAUGUGUAAGUAAAUGUGCACAUCUUGACGGUACCUAAUCAGAAAGCAACGGCUAACUACGUG
rnacentral:rRNA from 1 species